GUUAAGCGACUAAGCGUACACGGUGGAUGCCCUGGCAGUCAGAGGCGAUGAAGGACGUGCUAAUCUGCGAUAAGCGUCGGUAAGGUGAUAUGAACCGUUAUAACCGGCGAUUUCCGAAUGGGGAAACCCAGUGUGAUUCGUCACACUAUCAUUAACUGAAUCCAUAGGUUAAUGAGGCGAACCGGGGGAACUGAAACAUCUAAGUACCCCGAGGAAAAGAAAUCAACCGAGAUUCCCCCAGUAGCGGCGAGCGAACGGGGAGCAGCCCAGAGCCUGAAUCAGUGUGUGUGUUAGUGGAAGCGUCUGGAAAGGCGUGCGAUACAGGGUGACAGCCCCGUACACAAAAAUGCACAUGCUGUGAGCUCGAUGAGUAGGGCGGGACACGUGGUAUCCUGUCUGAAUAUGGGGGGACCAUCCUCCAAGGCUAAAUACUCCUGACUGACCGAUAGUGAACCAGUACCGUGAGGGAAAGGCGAAAAGAACCCCGGCGAGGGGAGUGAAAAAGAACCUGAAACCGUGUACGUACAAGCAGUGGGAGCACGCUUAGGCGUGUGACUGCGUACCUUUUGUAUAAUGGGUCAGCGACUUAUAUUCUGUAGCAAGGUUAACCGAAUAGGGGAGCCGAAGGGAAACCGAGUCUUAACUGGGCGUUAAGUUGCAGGGUAUAGACCCGAAACCCGGUGAUCUAGCCAUGGGCAGGUUGAAGGUUGGGUAACACUAACUGGAGGACCGAACCGACUAAUGUUGAAAAAUUAGCGGAUGACUUGUGGCUGGGGGUGAAAGGCCAAUCAAACCGGGAGAUAGCUGGUUCUCCCCGAAAGCUAUUUAGGUAGCGCCUCGUGAAUUCAUCUCCGGGGGUAGAGCACUGUUUCGGCAAGGGGGUCAUCCCGACUUACCAACCCGAUGCAAACUGCGAAUACCGGAGAAUGUUAUCACGGGAGACACACGGCGGGUGCUAACGUCCGUCGUGAAGAGGGAAACAACCCAGACCGCCAGCUAAGGUCCCAAAGUCAUGGUUAAGUGGGAAACGAUGUGGGAAGGCCCAGACAGCCAGGAUGUUGGCUUAGAAGCAGCCAUCAUUUAAAGAAAGCGUAAUAGCUCACUGGUCGAGUCGGCCUGCGCGGAAGAUGUAACGGGGCUAAACCAUGCACCGAAGCUGCGGCAGCGACACUGUGUGUUGUUGGGUAGGGGAGCGUUCUGUAAGCCUGCGAAGGUGUGCUGUGAGGCAUGCUGGAGGUAUCAGAAGUGCGAAUGCUGACAUAAGUAACGAUAAAGCGGGUGAAAAGCCCGCUCGCCGGAAGACCAAGGGUUCCUGUCCAACGUUAAUCGGGGCAGGGUGAGUCGACCCCUAAGGCGAGGCCGAAAGGCGUAGUCGAUGGGAAACAGGUUAAUAUUCCUGUACUUGGUGUUACUGCGAAGGGGGGACGGAGAAGGCUAUGUUGGCCGGGCGACGGUUGUCCCGGUUUAAGCGUGUAGGCUGGUUUUCCAGGCAAAUCCGGAAAAUCAAGGCUGAGGCGUGAUGACGAGGCACUACGGUGCUGAAGCAACAAAUGCCCUGCUUCCAGGAAAAGCCUCUAAGCAUCAGGUAACAUCAAAUCGUACCCCAAACCGACACAGGUGGUCAGGUAGAGAAUACCAAGGCGCUUGAGAGAACUCGGGUGAAGGAACUAGGCAAAAUGGUGCCGUAACUUCGGGAGAAGGCACGCUGAUAUGUAGGUGAAGUCCCUCGCGGAUGGAGCUGAAAUCAGUCGAAGAUACCAGCUGGCUGCAACUGUUUAUUAAAAACACAGCACUGUGCAAACACGAAAGUGGACGUAUACGGUGUGACGCCUGCCCGGUGCCGGAAGGUUAAUUGAUGGGGUCAGCGCAAGCGAAGCUCUUGAUCGAAGCCCCGGUAAACGGCGGCCGUAACUAUAACGGUCCUAAGGUAGCGAAAUUCCUUGUCGGGUAAGUUCCGACCUGCACGAAUGGCGUAAUGAUGGCCAGGCUGUCUCCACCCGAGACUCAGUGAAAUUGAACUCGCUGUGAAGAUGCAGUGUACCCGCGGCAAGACGGAAAGACCCCGUGAACCUUUACUAUAGCUUGACACUGAACAUUGAGCCUUGAUGUGUAGGAUAGGUGGGAGGCUUUGAAGUGUGGACGCCAGUCUGCAUGGAGCCGACCUUGAAAUACCACCCUUUAAUGUUUGAUGUUCUAACGUUGACCCGUGAUCCGGGUUGCGGACAGUGUCUGGUGGGUAGUUUGACUGGGGCGGUCUCCUCCUAAAGAGUAACGGAGGAGCACGAAGGUUGGCUAAUCCUGGUCGGACAUCAGGAGGUUAGUGCAAUGGCAUAAGCCAGCUUGACUGCGAGCGUGACGGCGCGAGCAGGUGCGAAAGCAGGUCAUAGUGAUCCGGUGGUUCUGAAUGGAAGGGCCAUCGCUCAACGGAUAAAAGGUACUCCGGGGAUAACAGGCUGAUACCGCCCAAGAGUUCAUAUCGACGGCGGUGUUUGGCACCUCGAUGUCGGCUCAUCACAUCCUGGGGCUGAAGUAGGUCCCAAGGGUAUGGCUGUUCGCCAUUUAAAGUGGUACGCGAGCUGGGUUUAGAACGUCGUGAGACAGUUCGGUCCCUAUCUGCCGUGGGCGCUGGAGAACUGAGGGGGGCUGCUCCUAGUACGAGAGGACCGGAGUGGACGCAUCACUGGUGUUCGGGUUGUCAUGCCAAUGGCACUGCCCGGUAGCUAAAUGCGGAAGAGAUAAGUGCUGAAAGCAUCUAAGCACGAAACUUGCCCCGAGAUGAGUUCUCCCUGACUCCUUGAGAGUCCUGAAGGAACGUUGAAGACGACGACGUUGAUAGGCCGGGUGUGUAAGCGCAGCGAUGCGUUGAGCUAACCGGUACUAAUGAACCGUGAGGCUUAACCUUACAACGCCGAAGGUGUUU
rnacentral:rRNA from 1 species